AGAAAUAACAAUACAGAACCUUACGGUUUUGUAAUUGGAAUGAGUUAAGUAUAAACCCCUUAACAAGUAUCAAUUGGAGGGCAAGUCUGGUGCCAGCAGCCGCGGUAAUUCCAGCUCCAAUAGCGUAUAUUAAAGUUGUUGCAGUUAAAAAGCUCGUAGUUAAUCUUCUGUUAAUUUUUAUAUAUAAUAUCACGAUAUUUAUAUAAUAUUAACAUAAUUCAUAUUACUUUUUAGUAUAUGAAACUUUACUUUGAGAAAAUUAGAGUGCUUAAAGCAGGCUAUUGCCUUGAAUACUCCAGCAUGGAAUAAUAUUAAGGAUUUUUAUUCUUCUUAUUGGUUCUAGAAUAAAAAUGAUGAUUAAUAGGGACAGUUGGGGGCAUUUGUAUUUAACAGUCAGAGGUGAAAUUCUUAGAUUUGUUAAAGACAAACUACUGCGAAAGCAUUUGCCAAGGAUGUUUUCAUUAAUCAAGAACGAAAGUUAGGGGAUCGA
rnacentral:rRNA from 1 species